UUCCAUUUCUUACACCUUGUCAGUUUGCAAUAUCUCUUAAAGACAAAGUACACAGUUUGAUAAAUACAAUAUUUGCAUUUGCCCAUAACAAGGCAGCUAUGGGACAACCUUUCCAUUAAAAGGGCAUGUCACUCUGAAAGCCAAUCAUGGCUUUCCAAAAACUGAAGGCUGCUGAUGAACUUACAAUUAGGAACGCUUCAACAUUAAAUAACUUAAUUCUGAUUUAGUGUUGAGGAUGUUCCUUUAGAUAGCAGGUGCUCCAAAACAUUAAAAUAAAGUUUACUUACAUUUUCCACCCCAUGGCAGACAGUCAGAGAUGAUAGUCUUGCUUCUUCACUGGCUGAAAAUAGCACAUGCAUAGCAAUUGCCACAAAUGUGCCAGUUGUACACUAUAUGUACAAAUGUGAAAAGGUACCUAUGCUCUAUCCAUGUGGUUUUACUUUUUUCUUGGCCUUUUAUUGAUUUAUAUUAUGUGUUAAUAAAUUGGUGUCUACA